UUGAUGUAAAACAGAGUUUGGAGUAACUGAUAAAGUUAUUGUGAUGCGAUUCAAUACAAUGCACCCUUAUGAUAAAGUCCUUUUCUAGAUGCUAUCCAUAGAGAAUUCAAAAAUAUGAAGAUGUAGAUACACAAAAAAAAAAAUAAAAAAAAAUCGACAUCUAAGAUAAAUAAAUAAGAUAAUAAUUUUAAAUUUAUACAUACAAUAUAAUUUUUUGUCCAAAAAAAAUUUAUUCAAAUUCUUGUCCCAAUACCUAGCUCCGCCCCGGAAUGUAACUGCGUAUAAUUUUUUUAUUUUUUUUUACCUAACUUACUGAAGUCCCUCAAUAGUUUGGUCUUUGUAACCUGCUAAGACAGUCAAAAUAUCACUGCUGCAAAAUAAGUGGAUGGUCAAAAUAAAUUAUUUAGGAGAAAGGAACUUCAUAUUCUUAAGUGGAUGGUCGCAGAUCAGCAAAUUUGCUUCAAGAUUGUACUCUUUCAUUUUCCCAAAAAAUUGACACAUCAGUUCGUCUCCCUCUAAUAUGCUUGAUGGUGUCCUACUAGCUUUCACUAGGUAUACAAUACUUCAAACAUUUUCCUUUUUUAAAAUAAUUUGCAAUUUGUCUACGUAUGAUUUUAUUAUUUUGUGUUAUUGUUUGUACUACUAGUGGUAGUGUUACAUAUGUUAUUUUGGGUAAAUUGAUUGUAGUAUUAUUUUGUGGUAACUUUAUUUCUGUUACUAUCUAUUAUUGUGUUACCAACAUUGCUUCUUACUCUCCUAUUACGUCUUUUUUUAAACUGUUUUUAUCUCACGUCGAGGGUCUACUAGAGGCAACUGUUGGGAAACAAUAAUAAAUCUCACUAACACUUGUGACACAGUGUAACAUAUAAAAUACUUGAGUCGUGCUAGGCACUAUCCUAAGAAAGUAUUUUCGCAAUAUGAAAUGUUUCCCCAGGAUUAAACGAGUACUUCCCUGAUUAAUUAGAGGAUAUUCAAGAAUUAUAAGUCUUUCCCAAUUAAUCAGAUGAUACAGGAAUCAACAAAAUUAAUUAUAAACCAACAAGUUUAAACUUAGAAAUGAAAUAAUAAAAUUAUUAUAAGAUAAAGGCAAAAUGAGACAAGAUUAGAAAAGUUAGUAGAGAAGGGAAGGAGAUUAGGAGAAUAUAUGUUUUUUUUUUUUUUU
rnacentral:lncRNA from 1 species